rnacentral:rRNA from 1 species
GGGGGGAUGCUACCAUGCAGUCGAACGGUAACAGGAAGCAGCUUGCUGCUUUGCUGACGAGUGGCGGACGGGUGAGUAAUGUCUGGGAAACUGCCUGAUGGAGGGGGAUAACUACUGGAAACGGUAGCUAAUACCGCAUAACGUCGCAAGACCAAAGAGGGGGACCUUCGGGCCUCUUGCCAUCGGAUGUGCCCAGAUGGGAUUAGCUUGUUGGUGGGGUAACGGCUCACCUAGGCGACGAUCCCUAGCUGGUCUGAGAGGAUGACCAGCCACACUGGAACUGAGACACGGUCCAGACUCCUACGGGAGGCAGCAGUGGGGAAUAUUGCACAAUGGGCGCAAGCCUGAUGCAGCCAUGCCGCGUGUAUGAAGAAGGCCUUCGGGUUGUAAAGUACUUUCAGCGGGGAGGAAGGGAGUAAAGUUAAUACCUUUGCUCAUUGACGUUACCCGCAGAAGAAGCACCGGCUAACUCCGUGCCAGCAGCCGCGGUAAUACGGAGGGUGCAAGCGUUAAUCGGAAUUACUGGGCGUAAAGCGCACGCAGGCGGUUUGUUAAGUCAGAUGUGAAAUCCCCGGGCUCAACCUG